UACAGAGGGGGCAAGCGUUGUUCGGAAUUACUGGGCGUAAAGGGCGCGUAGGCGGCCUGUUAAGUCGAACGUGAAAUCCCCGGGCUCAACCCGGGGACUGCGUCCGAGACUGGCAGGCUCGAAUCCGGGAGAGGGAUGUGGAAUUCCAGGUGUAGCGGUGAAAUGCGUAGAUAUCUGGUGGAACAUCGGUGGCGAAGGCGGCAUCCUGGACCGGCAUUGACGCUGAGGCGCGAAAGCCAGGGGAGCAAACGGG
rnacentral:rRNA from 1 species